GAAAAGAGCAGGAAGCGGAGUGGAAGGCAGGGGCUGAAGACACAGGUCAGGCGGAAUGAAGAUGAUGGUGGUCAUUGCUCAUGCUGUCCUCGCUCAGCCGGCUCCUGGGCCUCAUGAGGCCAUCAUCUCUCAGGCAAUACCUGGGCUCUGUGCCCUUGCCACCCUGCCAGGAGCAACAGCCAAAGGCUAGUGCCGAGCUAGACCACAAGGCCUGCUACCUGUGCCACAGCCUGCUGAUGCUGGCUGGGGUGGUUGUCAGCUGCCAGGACAUCACUCCAGACCAGUGGGGCGAGCUGCAGCUGCUGUGCAUGCAGUUGGACCGCCACAUCAACACGCAGAUCCGGGAGAGCCCCCAGGCCAUGCACCACACCAUGCUCAAGGACCUGGCUACCCAGACCUACAUCCGUUGGCAGGAGCUGCUGACCCACUGCCAGCCCCAGGCCCAGUAUUUCAGCCCCUGGAAAGACAUCUAAAGGAACAGGUUCAGGGCAGCCCAGGGCUCCUGGCUCCAGCAGGAAGUGAACAGGCUCAGGGAACUGGAGGAAGCGAAGCAUCAAGGCCAGAGGAGGCCACAUGCUGACCAGCCUGAUGAGGCAAGAGCCUGCCUCUGCCACCAUCCCGAUCCCCUCUCCUCUCAGCAAGGGAUGGGCCUCUCUGCCUCGCCCACCCCUCAGCCCUCC
rnacentral:sRNA from 1 species